UGCAAGUCGAACGCGAAAUUUUUCUUCGGAAAGAGAGUAGAGUGGCGCACGGGUGAGUAACGCGUAAGUUAUCUACCCCGGCAUCUGGAAUAACUCACCGAAAGGUGUGCUAAUACCGGAUACGUUGAGAAAUCAAGAAAGGUGGCCUCUGGAUAUGCUACCGUGCUGGGAUGAGCUUGCGUACCAUUAGCUAGUUGGUAGGGUAAAGGCCUACCAAGGCGACGAUGGUUAGCGGGUCUGAGAGGAUGAUCCGCCACACUGGAACUGGAACACGGACCAGACUCCUACGGGAGGCAGCAGUGAGGAAUAUUGCGCAAUGGGGGCAACCCUGACGCAGCGACGCCGCGUGGAUGAUGAAGGCCUUCGGGUCGUAAAAUCCUGUCAGAUGGAAAGAAGUGUAUGGUGGAUAAUACCUGCUGUACUUGACGGUACCAUCGAAGGAAGCACCGGCUAACUCCGUGCCAGCAGCCGCGGUAAUACGGAGGGUGCAAGCGUUGUUCGGAAUUACUGGGCGUAAAGCGCGCGUAGGCGGUUUGCUAAGUCAGAUGUGAAAGCCCAUGGCUC
rnacentral:rRNA from 1 species